rnacentral:sRNA from 1 species
UUCUAGCCCCGAUGGAAACGGCAUCCUUAUUUGUUUCGCCGAAAGGCGGAACAAAUAAGAUAUAGUGGACAGCGGGACGGGUC